UUCUUAUCAAGAGCAGGCGGAGGGACUAGCCCUAUGAAGCCCGGCAACCGACUUUGUAAAAAGCACGGUGCUAAUUCUUGCAGCGUUUGAGCUGAUAGAUGAGAA
rnacentral:ncRNA from 2 species